rnacentral:rRNA from 1 species
UACAGAGGGGGCAAGCGUUAUUCGGAAUUACUGGGCGUAAAGGGCGCGUAGGCGGCCUUGCAAGUGACGGGUGAAAUCCCUCGGCUUAACCGAGGAACUGCCUGUCAAACUGCGUGGCUUGAGACCAGGAGAGGUGAGUGGAAUUCCCAGUGUAGCGGUGAAAUGCGUAGAUAUUGGGAGGAACACCAGUGGCGAAGGCGGCUCACUGGACUGGUACUGACGCUGAUGCGCGAAAGCGUGGGGAGCAAACAGG